ACUGGAAUUUCUUGUGUAGGAGUGAAAUCCGUAGAUAUAAGAAGGAACACCGAUGGCGUAGGCAGGUUACUGGGCCAUUUCUGACGCUAAGGCACGAAAGCGUGGGGAGCGAACCGGAUUAGAUACCCGGGUAGUCCACGCCGUAAACGAUGGAUACUAGCUGUUGGAGGUAUCGACCCCUUCAGUAGCGAAGCUAACGCGUUAAGUAUCCCGCCUGUGGAGUACGGCCGCAAGGCUAAAACAUAAAGGAAUUGACGGGGACCCGCACAAGCGGUGGAUCGUGUUCUUUAAUUCGAUGAUAAACGAAGAACCUUACCAGGGCUUGACAUCCAGGGAAGGUCUGCGAAAGUAGACUGUGCCUUUUGGAACCCUGUGACAGGUGAUGCAUGGCCGUCGUCAGCUCGUGUCGUGAGAUGUUUGGUUAAGUCCAUCAACGAGCGCAACCCUUGCAACUAGUUGGAUUUUUCUAGUUGGACUGCUUCGGUAACGGAGAGGAAGGAGGGGAUGAUGUCAGGUCAGUAUUUCCCUUACGUCCUGGGCUAGAAACACGAUACAAUGGCUAGUACAAUGCGCAGCGAAGCCGCGAGGUGAAGCAAAUCGCAUCAAAGCUAGUCCCAGUUCGGAUUGGAGGCUGAAACUCGCCUCCAUGAAGUCGGAAUCGCUAGUAAUCGCAGGUCAGCAUACUGCGGUGAAUACGUUCCCGGGUCUUGUACACACCGCCCGUCAAGCCAUGAAAGUGACCAACACCCGAAGUCCGAUUCGUCGGCCUAAGGUGGGGGGCAUGAUUGGGGUUAAGUCGUAACAAGGUAUCCGUACCGGAAGGUGCGGAUG
rnacentral:rRNA from 1 species